AUAAUGUCUCUCGGCAACGGAUAUCUAGGCUCUUGCAUCGAUGAAGAACGUAGCGAAAUGCGAUACUUGGUGUGAAUUGCAGAAUCCCGUGAACCAUCGAGUCUUUGAACGCAAGUUGCGCCCAAAGCCAUUUGGUUGAGGGCACGUCUGCCUGGGCGUCACAU
rnacentral:rRNA from 1 species